CCUACGGGAGGCAGCAGUGGGGAAUAUUGGACAAUGGGCGAAAGCCUGAUCCAGCAAUUCCGCGUGUGUGAAGAAGGCCUUCGGGUUGUAAAGCACUUUAGUGGGGGAAGAAACAGCUUGGCCACACCAAGCCUUGACGGUACCCCAAGAAUAAGCACCGGCUAACUCUGUGCCAGCAGCCGCGGUAAUACAGAGGGUGCAAGCGUUAAUCGGAUUUACUGGGCGUAAAGGGUGCGUAGGUGGCUAUUUAAGUCGGAUGUGAAAGCCCGGGGCUCAACCUCGGAAUUGCAUUCGAUACUGAGUGGCUAGAGUUCGGUAGAGGGCGGCGGAAUUUCCGGUGUAGCGGUGAAAUGCGUAGAUAUCGGAAGGAACAUCAAUGGCGAAGGCAGCCGCCUGGGCCUGGACUGACACUGAGGCACGAAAGCGUGGGUAGCAAACAGGAUUAGAUACCCUGGUAGUCCACGCCGUAAACGAUGAGAACUUGACGUUGGUUCGUUUUACGAAUCGGUGUCGCNNCUACGACGAUAGUUACUCCGUCCGUCGGGUAGGUACGGCCGGCCGACGGUUAGGUAAACGUUAAACGGUAAGUUAGACGGCGUGAGACGUGCCGACGGACGACGACGAGGGAGGUAGG
rnacentral:rRNA from 1 species